rnacentral:rRNA from 1 species
UAGGGAAUCUUCGGCAAUGGGGGGAACCCUGACCGAGCACCGCCGCGUGAGUGAAGAAGGUUUUCGGAUCGUAAAGCUCUGUUGUUUAGGAAGAACGAGUGUGAGAAUGGAAAGUUCAUGCUGUGACGGUACUUAACCAGAAAGGGACGGCUAACUACGUGCCAGCAGCCGCGGUAAUACGUAGGUCCCGAGCGUUGUCCGGAGUUAUUGGGCGUAAAGCGAGCGCAGGCGGUUAGAAAAGUCUGAAGUGAAAGGCAGUGGCUAAACUAUUGUGGGAUUUGGAAACAGUUUGGCUUGAGUGAAGGAGGGGAGAGUGGAAUUCCAUGUGUGGCGGUGAAAUGCGUGGAUAGAUGGAGGAACACCGGUGGCGAAAGCGGCUGUCUGGUCUGGAACUGACGCUGAGGCUCGAAAGCGUGGUGAGCGAACAGG